AAGAUGGCGCUGCGGUGAAUUCCGUAUCCUUGGAGCGUAUGAGGACAAAUCCUCACUGCGCAUGCGCUAAGCCUAUAUAAGACGUAUGCGCGCUCUUUUCUACCCUUGUUCGCUUCCUGACGCGUCGUGAUGAUCCCUUAUGUCAAAAUGUUGAUGCCUAAAUUCAAAUUCCACCCAUGGACCGUUGGAAUAAGGACCAUGUGCUUUUUGCUUCAGCACAAACUCGAGACAUGAUCAUGUUGGUACCACGUGGGUAACCACAUUCUGAAACGGGACACAUGAUUUUGAUCCAAGAGGACCUUGAACAAAUGACCCUUGAUUGUUGGCCACAUGUGAAGGUUUUAGGGGAUUGAGGUGCCAGUUUGAAGCCCUAUUGGUGCAGUGGAGAAGCAAGUGGAUUCAAAAUGGCUCUUGCUGUACCAGCUUAUGUUCCAGCAUCCUGUCCAGUAUUUUUUAUUUGUCAAUGUACAAAUAUACAGUAAGAUGUUUUUAUUAAAGUGUCAGAAAGCUUAAGCUUUCUGAAAACCACAAGCAGCUGCAUUAAACGUAUUACUUGAAACACUUUCCU